UACGAAGGGGGCUAGCGUUGCUCGGAAUUACUGGGCGUAAAGGGCGCGUAGGCGGACAGUUUAGUCAGAGGUGAAAGCCCAGGGCUCAACCUUGGAAUAGCCUUUGAUACUGACUGUCUUGAGUUCGGGAGAGGUGAGUGGAAUGCCGAGUGUAGAGGUGAAAUUCGUAGAUAUUCGGCGGAACACCAGUGGUGAAGGCGACUCACUGGCCCGAUACUGACGCUGAGGCGCGAAAGCGUGGGGAGCAAACAGG
rnacentral:rRNA from 1 species